UAAGGGGUUGUUUGAUAUAGUGGGUCAAAAGAGGGAUUGGAUCCAGAAAAAGCCAAUUAGCAUGUUUGAUAGGGAUUAGAGAGUAAAGGACUCGGUCCAAGAAUAUCAUCAAAUUUGGUCCUUGCUUUCCGAUCGAUGGACCGGGAACAAAAAAAGAAGAAAACCCAUUUUCCCCUAUUAUUUUCGCACGCCUUCAUUGAAAAGAUAGAGAAACCGAGACAGUUAUCGCCUAUCACUCCAGUCGAUUUCUCCCCCCCAUGAAGAAACCAGAGCAGCUACUUUCGACGACCAGGUGAGGGCUUUCUUCUUCAACCCUCGAUUUCAUUAUGCGUCCAUUCGAACGAUCUGUUCUAUUUUGUAUCAUGGAGAUAACCAUAUUGUUGAUAUUGAAUCCCAUAAGGUUGAAUUGGAAAUUAAUGCUCUAUUGAUGAAAUUAAGGCCAAUCAUGUAGGUUCGCUUUUUUCUUGGCUAUUCUAAUAUCACAGUUGACGAUAAAGACCCAUGUUUCACUCUUUUUGUAGGAGAUUUUGAUUUGUGAUGACAAAAAAACUCAUAUGUUGGUGUUCCUUCCUGAUUCAUUGGAAUAAAUUGUUGAUUCUAUGGA